rnacentral:rRNA from 1 species
GUCGUACGGCAGUACCCAGAGCAAUCCUGGUGGCGAGUGGCGAACGGGUGAGUAAUACAUCGGAACGUGUCCUGUAGUGGGGGAUAGCCCGGCGAAAGCCGGAUUAAUACCGCAUACGAUCUGCGGAUGAAAGCGGGGGCUCCUUCGGGACCUCGCGCUACAGGGGCGGCCGAUGGCAGAUUAGCUAGUUGGUGGGGUAAAGGCCUACCAAGGCGACGAUCUGUAGCUGGUCUGAGAGGACGACCAGCCACACUGGGACUGAGACACGGCCCAGACUCCUACGGGAGGCAGCAGUGGGGAAUUUUGGACAAUGGGCGCAAGCCUGAUCCAGCAAUGCCGCGUGUGUGAAGAAGGCCUUCGGGUUGUAAAGCACUUUUGUCCGGAAAGAAAACCUCUGGGUUAAUACCCCGGGGGGAUGACGGUACCGGAAGAAUAAGCACCGGCUAACUACGUGCCAGCAGCCGCGGUAAUACGUAGGGUGCAAGCGUUAAUCGGAAUUACUGGGCGUAAAGCGUGCGCAGGCGGUUCGCUAAGACAGAUGUG